GAUGAACGCUGGCGGCGUGCCUAAUACAUGCAAGUCGAGCGAACGGACGAGAAGCUUGCUUCUCUGAUGUUAGCGGCGGACGGGUGAGUAACACGUGGAUAACCUACCUAUAAGACUGGGAUAACUUCGGGAAACCGGAGCUAAUACCGGAUAAUAUUUUGAACCGCAUGGUUCAAAAGUGAAAGACGGUCUUGCUGUCACUUAUAGAUGGAUCCGCGCUGCAUUAGCUAGUUGGUAAGGUAACGGCUUACCAAGGCAACGAUGCAUAGCCGACCUGAGAGGGUGAUCGGCCACACUGGAGCUGAGACACGGUCCAGACUCCUACGGGAGGCAGCAGUAGGGAAUCUUCCGCAAAGGGCGAGAGCCUGACGGAGCAACGCCGCGUGAGUGAUGAAGAUCUUCGGAUCGUAAAACUCUGUUAUUAGGGAAGAACAUAUGUGUAAGUAACUGUGCACAGCUUGACGGUACCUAAUCAGAAAGCCACGGCUAACUACGUG
rnacentral:rRNA from 1 species